GACGAACGCUGGCGGCGUGCUUAACACAUGCAAGUCGAACGGAAAGGCGCUGCUUCUUGCUGUUUCUCGAGUGGCGAACGGGUGAGUAACACGUGAGUAAGCUGCCCUCGACUGUGGGAUAACAUCAGCAAACUGGGGCUAAUACCAGAUAGUAGCUUCGGCUGCACGGUGGGGGUUGGAAAGGUUCGGCGGUCGGUGAUGGACUCGCGGCUGAUCAGCUUGUUGGUGGGGGAGUGGCUCACCACGGCUCUGAGGGGUCGCCGGCCUGAGAGGGUGACCGGCGACAUUGGGACUGAGAGACGGCCCAGACGCGUACGGGGGGCAGCAGUGGGGAAUAUUGCACAGUGGGCGGAAGCCUGAUGCAGCAACGCCGCGUGCGGGAUGACGGCCUUCGGGUUGUAAACGGCUUUCAGCUGUGACGAAGCGUGAGUGACGGUAAUGGGUAAAGAAGCACCGGCUAACUACGUG
rnacentral:rRNA from 1 species